GUAGCUUGCUCUCGGGUGACGAGUGGCGGACGGGUGAGUAAUGUCUGGGAAACUGCCUGAUGGAGGGGGAUAACUACUGGAAACGGUAGCUAAUACCGCAUAACGUCGCAAGACCAAAGAGGGGGACCUUCGGGCCUCUUGCCAUCGGAUGUGCCCAGAUGGGAUUAGCUAGUAGGUGGGGUAAUGGCUCACCUAGGCGACGAUCCCUAGCUGGUCUGAGAGGAUGACCAGCCACACUGGAACUGAGACACGGUCCAGACUCCUACGGGAGGCAGCAGUGGGGAAUAUUGCACAAUGGGCGCAAGCCUGAUGCAGCCAUGCCGCGUGUAUGAAGAAGGCCUUCGGGUUGUAAAGUACUUUCAGCGAGGAGGAAGGUGUUGAGGUUAAUAACCUCAGCAAUUGACGUUACUCGCAGAAGAAGCACCGGCUAACUCCGUGCCAGCAGCCGCGGUAAUACGGAGGGUGCAAGCGUUAAUCGGAAUUACUGGGCGUAAAGCGCACGCAGGCGGUCUGUUAAGUCAGAUGUGAAAUCCCCGGGCUCAACCUGGGAACUGCAUUUGAAACUGGCAGGCUUGAGUCUUGUAGAGGGGGGUAGAAUUCCAGGUGUAGCGGUGAAAUGCGUAGAGAUCUGGAGGAAUACCGGUGGCGAAGGCGGCCCCCUGGACAAAGACUGACGCUCAGGUGCGAAAGCGUGGGGGAGCAAACAGGAUUAGAUACCCUGGUAGUCCACGCCGUAAACGAUGUCGACUUGGAGGUUGUGCCCUUGAGGCGUGGCUUCCGGAGCUAACGCGUUAAGUCGACCGCCUGGGGAGUACGGCCGCAAGGUUAAAACUCAAAUGAAUUGACGGGGGCCCGCACAAGCGGUGGAGCAUGUGGUUUAAUUCGAUGCAACGCGAAGAUCCUUACCUACUCUUGACAUCCA
rnacentral:rRNA from 1 species